GAAGAAAGCCAAACCUUGAAAGGACAUAGAUACCAAAAGAACGCCUUUCUCUCUUACCGAACCCUCUGUUGUAGGUGAGGUUCACUGAUGGGCUUUGCAGAAGGCUUGCACUGCUCCUUUAGGAGCUCUAUCACCCAGAGAGAGAUGUUGAAAGCACCAGUCCACAAAACGGCCAAAAGUCAGCACUGUUGCAGGCACUAACUGCAGUCCUUCUAAAGAUUUGCAGAGUAAGCAGUAUUACUUGGCUGUUAAUCCUCCUCCUCCUCGUCCUUCUUUCGUACUUCCUGCAGGAAAGACGGCGUCCACAGCUACUUUUUAUGAAGUCAAAUAUCCUGCUGUUUUCAUUCCUGGUCUGACACUUGGCUACCUGUGCUUCUCAGACAACGUUUUUGCCUCAGGACAAAACCUUGCUGCUCUAGCUCCACAAAGAGAUCCUCACAGAGAAGCUGAUGAAUUAUGGGCUAGAUAAGCAUCCAGUGAAGAGGCUUGAAAACAGGCUGAACAACUGGGCCCAGAGGGUGGUGAUCAACGGUAAGAAGUCCAGCUGGAGGCUGGUAAGUAGCCGUGUACCCCAGGCAUCAAUACUAGGCCUGUUCAAUGCCUUCAUUAAUCAUCCAGAGGGACCUCAGUAGGUUGGAGAAACUGGCUGACAGGAAUCUCAUGAAGUUCAA